GCCUAUAUCAAGAGAUAGAUGGCUGAUAAAUUAGAGGAAGAUCUAUAAUAGCUUGUUUUAUAGGAUAUCCAAAAGAAUCAAUGGGAUACUACUUCUACUUUUCACAAGAUCACAAUGUGAUUGUGAAUCGAAACGCCAUAUUCUUAGAAAAAUAGUUUAUUCAGGAUGAUGGUAGUAGGAGAUUAGUUGAGCUCAAAGAGAAG
rnacentral:lncRNA from 1 species